rnacentral:rRNA from 1 species
GAUGAACGCUGGCGGCGUGCCUAAUACAUGCAAGUCGAGCGAAUGGAUUAAGAGCUUGCUCUUAUGAAGUUAGCGGCGGACGGGUGAGUAACACGUGGGUAACCUGCCCAUAAGACUGGGAUAACUCCGGGAAACCGGGGCUAAUACCGGAUAAUAUUUUGAACUGCAUGGUUCAAAAUUGAAAGGCGGCUUCGGCUGUCACUUAUGGAUGGACCCGUGUCGCAGUAGCUAGUUGGUGAGGUAACGGCUCACCAAGGCAACGAUGCGUAGCCGACCUGAGAGGGUGAUCGGCCACACUGGGACUGAGACACGGCCCAGACUCCUACGGGAGGCAGCAGUAGGGAAUCUUCCGCAAUGGACGAAAGUCUGACGGAGCAACGCCGCGUGAGUGAUGAAGGCUUUCGGGUCGUAAAACUCUGUUGUUAGGGAAGAACAAGUGCUAGUUGAAUAAGCUGGCACCUUGACGGUACCUAACCAGAAAGCCACGGCUAACUACGUGCCAGCCGCCGCGGUAA